CCUACGGGCGGCAGCAGUGAGGAAUAUUGGUCAAUGGACGAGAGUCUGAACCAGCCAAGUAGCGUGAAGGAUGACUGCCCUAUGGGUUGUAAACUUCUUUUAUAUGGGAAUAAAACGUUCCACGUGUGGGAUUUUGUAUGUACCAUAUGAAUAAGGAUCGGCUAACUCCGUGCCAGCAGCCGCGGUAAUACGGAGGAUCCGAGCGUUAUCCGGAUUUAUUGGGUUUAAAGGGAGCGUAGGUGGAUUGUUAAGUCAGUUGUGAAAGUUUGCGGCUCAACCGUAAAAUUGCAGUUGAAACUGGCAGUCUUGAGUACAGUAGAGGUGGGCGGAAUUCGUGGUGUAGCGGUGAAAUGCUUAGAUAUCACGAAGAACGCCGAUUGCGAAGGCAGUUCACUGGACUGCAACUGACACUGAGGCUCGAAAGUGUGGGUAUCAAACAGGAUUAGAUACCCUUGUAGUC
rnacentral:rRNA from 1 species